AUUGAACGCUGGCGGCAUGCCUUACACAUGCAAGUCGAACGGUAACAGGUCUUCGGAUGCUGACGAGUGGCGAACGGGUGAGUAAUACAUCGGAACGUGCCCGAUCGUGGGGGAUAACGCAGCGAAAGCUGUGCUAAUACCGCAUACGAUCUACGGAUGAAAGCGGGGGAUCGCAAGACCUCGCGCGGACGGAGCGGCCGAUGGCAGAUUAGGUAGUUGGUGGGAUAAAAGCUUACCAAGCCGACGAUCUGUAGCUGGUCUGAGAGGACGACCAGCCACACUGGGACUGAGACACGGCCCAGACUCCUACGGGAGGCAGCAGUGGGGAAUUUGGACAAUGGGGGAAACCCUGAUCCAGCCAUGCCGCGUGCAGGAUGAAGGCCUUCGGGUUGUAACUGUCUUUGUACGGAACGUAAAGGUACCUUACUAAUAAAGAGGACGUCAUAGACGGUACCGUAAGAAGUAAGACACCGACUAACUACGU
rnacentral:rRNA from 1 species